UUCACACCAGCCAAUAGGAUCGCAACAUGUAUGAGAGGUAUUUGUCUUCCAAUGGAUCCUACCUCACGAAACCAACUCUAUUCCUUUCCCUCACCUCUCUCCUCUCCUGAUUCUCUGCUCUUCCUCUCCCCUCUCGAUUCUCCGUUUCCGUCCCAAUUUUCUUCUUUUCCUCUCCCCUCCCAAUUCUCUUCUUUCUCUCCUCUUCCAUUUCUCUUCUCCCCUUUCUCUCUUCUCUCCCCCGCGCCCUAUGCCCUUUCUCCUCUCCAUCGAGUGAUUUCGAAAGAACCAACCCAUUAACCUCUGAGAGAAUACAUUAAUGAUACAGAAGAUUACAUCAUUAAUAUUCAGCAAUAUGGAAAGUAGUGAAUGAGACACCAUAUCUAGUAUACAAUCUAUGAGGGCAAAAGAUGAAGUGAUCUCCGGACGAAGACCACUAUAUUAUUGUGGCAUUCCUUCCAAAUUGCGGACGUCGGAUAAUCCAAAAAGUUUUGGUUGGUGGUUUUUGAAUUGACCAUAUUAGAAGGUUAAAAAACAGUGUGGAUUUUUCGAAUAAGUUGAUCGUGAAAUGAAACAACCGGAUUGUUGUAAGUAAACCUUGGAAUUAGGACAAUGAAGAAAUGAAAUGAUAGCAUAUGAAUGUACAAGAAUAGAACACGCAAAAUUCUAAUCAAUGAAAAAGAAGUACAAAAGCGUAUUGAUUGCGUUUUAGGUUUUAUUUAUUGAGUUAUUAGUUAGUCUAAACUUUUUUAAAGUCAAUGAUAAUGUAAAUCUUUUAAUGCUACAUUAAGAUGUACUUGGCUUAUUAAGUUGUAUUUAUUUUCUGAAUCAGUGCACAUGGGUUGUUGCAGGCUGCAUUCAAGUUGUAUUA